GACGAACGCUGGCGGCGUGCCUAACACAUGCAAGUCGAACGGUAAGGCCCUUCGGGGUACACGAGUGGCGAACGGGUGAGUAACACGUGGGUGAUCUGCCCUGCACUUCGGGAUAAGCCUGGGAAACUGGGUCUAAUACCGGAUAGGACUCCGGACUGCAUGGUCUGGGGUGGAAAGCUUUUGCGGUGUGGGAUGGGCCCGCGGCCUAUCAGCUUGUUGGUGGGGUGAUGGCCUAACAAGGCGACGACGGGGAGCCGGCCUGAGAGGGUGACCGGCCACACUGGGACUGAGGUACGGCCCAGACUCCUACGGGAGGCAGCAGUGGGGAAUAUUGCACAAUGGGCGCAAGCCUGAUGCAGCGACGCCGCGUGAGGGAUGACGGCCUUCGGGUUGUAAACCUCUUUCAGCACAGACGAAGCGCAAGUGACGGUAUGUGCAGAAGAAGGACCGGCCAACUACGUGCCAGCCGCCGCGGUAA
rnacentral:rRNA from 1 species